AUUGAACGCUGGCGGCAGGCCUAACACAUGCAAGUCGAACGGUAACAGGAAGAAGCUUGCUUCUUUGCUGACGAGUGGCGGACGGGUGAGUAAUGUCUGGGAAACUGCCUGAUGGAGGGGGAUAACUACUGGAAACGGUAGCUAAUACCGCAUAACGUCGCAAGACCAAAGAGGGGGACCUUCGGGCCUCUUGCCAUCGGAUGUGCCCAGAUGGGAUUAGCUAGUAGGUGGGGUAACGGCUCAGCUAGGCGACGAUCCCUAGCUGGUCUGAGAGGAUGACCGGCAACACGGGAACGAAGACACGGUCCAGACUCCUACGGGAGGCAGCAGUGGGGAAUAUUGCACAAUGGGCGCAAGCCGGAUGCAGCCAUGCCGCGUGUAUGAAGAAGGCCUUCGGGUUGUAAAGUACUUUCAGCGGGGAGGAAGGGAGUAAAGUUAAUACCUUUGCUCAUGGACGUUACCCGCAGAAGAAGCACCGGCUAACUCCGU
rnacentral:rRNA from 1 species